UUAUUGUUCAUCUGAGGGUAUAGACUAGAGAGAGAGAGGAGCUGAUGGGAGGUUAUUGUUCAUCUGAGGGUAUAGACUAGAGAGAGAGAGGAGCUGAUGGGAGGUUAUUGUUCAUCUGAGGGUAUAGACUAGAGAGAGGAGCUGAUGGGAGGUUAUUGUUCAUCUGAGGGUAGAGACUAGAGAGAGGAGCUGAUGGGAGGUUAUUGUUCAUCUGAGGGUAGAGACUAGAGAGAGGAGCUGAUGGGAGGUUAUUGUUCAUCUGAGGGUAUAGACUAGAGAGAGGAGCUGAUGGGAGGUUAUUGUUCAUCUGAGGGUAGAGACUAGAGAGAGAGAGGAGCUGAUGGGAGGUUAUUGUUCAUCUGAGGGUAUAGACUAGAGAGAGAGAGGAGCUGAUGGGAGGUUAUUGUUCAUCUGAGGGUAUAGACUAGAGAGAGAGAGGAGCUGAUGGGAGGUUAUUGUUCAUCUGAGGGUAGAGACUAGAGAGAGAGAGGAGCUGAUGGGAGGUUAUUGUUCAUCUGAGGGUAUAGACUAGAGAGAGAGAGGAGCUGAUGGGAGGUUAUUGUUCAUCUGAGGGUAUAGACUA